UACGGAGGGUGCAAGCGUUGUUCGGAAUCACUGGGCGUAAAGAGCGUGUAGGCGGCGAGGUAAGUCGGAUGUGAAAGCCCCGGGCUCAACUCGGGAAUUGCAUCCGAAACUUCCUCGCUAGAGUCCCGGAGAGGAAGGCAGAAUUCCCAAUGUAGGGGUGAAAUCCGUAGAUAUUGGGAGGAAUACCGGUGGCGAAGGCGGCCUUCUGGACGGUGACUGACGCUGAGACGAGAAAGCGUGGGGAGCAAACAGG
rnacentral:rRNA from 1 species